ACGGGUGCGUAACGCGUAUGCAAUCUGCCUUUCACAGAGGGAUAGCCCAGAGAAAUUUGGAUUAAUACCUCAUAGUAUUAUUGGGUGGCAUCACUUAAUAAUUAAAGUCACAACGGUGAAAGAUGAGCAUGCGUCCCAUUAACUAGUUGGUAAGGUAACGGCUUACCAAGGCAACGAUGGGUAGGGGUCCUGAAAGGGAGAUCCCCCACACUGGUACUGAAACACGGACCAAACUCCUACGGGAGGCAGCAGUGAGGAAUAUUGGUCAAUGGACGCAAGUCUGAACCAGCCAUGCCGCGUGCAGGAUGACGGUCCUAUGGAUUGUAAACUGCUUUUGUACGAAAAGAAACAACAUUACGUGUAAUGUCUUGACGGUGUCGUAACAAUAAGGAUCGGCUAACUCCGUGCCAGCAGCCGCGGUAAUACGGAGGAUCCAAGCGUUAUCCGGAAUCAUUGGGUUUAAAGGGUCCGUAGGCGGUUUAGUAAGUCAGUGGUGAAAGCCCAUCGCUCAACGGUGGAACGGCCAUUGAUACUGCUGAACUUGAAUUAUUAGGAAGUAACUAGAAUAUGUAGUGUAGCGGUGAAAUGC
rnacentral:rRNA from 1 species